rnacentral:rRNA from 1 species
GCAGCAGUGGGGAAUAUUGCACAAUGGGGGGAAACCCUGAUGCAGCGACGCCGCGUGAAGGAAGAAGUAUCUCGGUAUGUAAACUUCUAUCAGCAGGGAAGAUAGUGACGGUACCUGACUAAGAAGCCCCGGCUAACUACGUGCC